GACACGCUGGCGGCGUGCCUAACACAUGCAAGUCGAGCGGGGUUGAGGCGAGAGGUAACUCGAGCUUCUACCUAGCGGCGGACGGGUGAGUAACGCGUGGGCAACCUGCCUCAAGGUUUGGGAUAACAGCCCGAAAGGGCUGCUAAUACCGGAUAUGCCUAUGGCCUCGCAUGGGGCUAUGAGCAAAGGGGAAACCCGCCUUGAGAUGGGCCCGCGUCCCAUCAGCUAGUUGGUGAGGUAACAGCUCACCAAGGCGACGACGGGUAGCCGGCCUGAGAGGGUGACCGGCCACACUGGGACUGAGACACGGUCCAGACUCCUACGGGAGGCAGCAGUGGGGAAUUUUGCGCAAUGGGCGAAAGCCUGACGCAGCGACGCCGCGUGGGUGAUGAAGGCCCUCGGGUUGUAAAGCCCUGUGGGGAGGGAUGAAUAAGGUAUGGCUAAUACCUAUACUGAUGACAGUACCUCCUUAGCAAGCACCGGCUAACUCUGUG
rnacentral:rRNA from 1 species